GGGGGAUAUUGCACAAUGGAGGAAACUCUGAUGCAGCAACGCCGCGUGAGGGAAGAAGGUCUUCGGAUUGUAAACCUUUGUCCUUGGUGACGAAACAAAUGACGGUAGCCAAGGAGGAAGCUCCGGCUAACUACGUGCCAGCAGCCGCGGUAAUACGUAGGGAGCAAGCGUUGUCCGGAUUUACUGGGUGUAAAGGGUGCGUAGGCGGCUCUGCAAGUCAGGCGUGAAAACUAUGGGCUUAACCCAUAGACUGCGUUUGAAACUGUGGAGCUUGAGUGAAGUAGAGGUAGGCGGAAUUCCCGGUGUAGCGGUGAAAUGCGUAGAGAUCGGGAGAAACACCAGUGGCGAAGGCGGCCUACUGGGCUUUAACUGACGCUGAGGCACGAAAGCAUGGGUAGCAAAC
rnacentral:rRNA from 1 species